CCUAUUUAAUUGGUUCUGGGUCUGAAAAACUCAUAGAUUGAGUGUUGUCAUCUGCUUCGUCUCUUGUUUAACCCACGAGAUAGGAGUCAAAUAACAGCACUACAUUU
rfam:Cajanus cajan Scaffold000409_31, whole genome shotgun sequence.